rnacentral:rRNA from 1 species
AACGUAGGUGGCGAGCGUUAUCCGGAUUUACUGGGCGUAAAGCGUGCGCAGGCGGUUCGUUGUGUCUGAUGUGAAAGCCCCGGGCUCAACCUGGGAAUGGCAUUGGAAACUGGCGAGCUAGAGUGUGGCAGAGGGGGGUGGAAUUCCGCGUGUAGCAGUGAAAUGCGUAGAGAUGCGGAGGAACACCGAUGGCGAAGGCAGCCCCCUGGGCUGACACUGACGCUCAGGCACGAAAGCGUGGGGAGCAAACAGG